UACCAGCACCCCGAGUGGUCGGGACGAUUAUUGGGCCUAAAGCAUCCGUAGCCGGUACUGCAAGUCUUCCGUUAAAUCCACCUGCUUAACAGUUGGGCUGCGGGGGAUACUACAGCGCUAGGAGGCGGGAGAGGCAAGCGGUACUCAAUGGGUAGGGGUAAAAUCCGCUGAUCCAUUGAAGACCACCAGUGGCGAAGGCGGCUUGCCAGAACGCGCUCGACGGUGAGGGAUGAAAGCUGGGGGAGCAAACCGGAUUAGAAACCCCAGUAGUCC
rnacentral:rRNA from 1 species